AUGCCAGCCUUAUCCUCAAUGCAAAAUGCAAUGCUUUCCCCAUUGUUGUGGGACUGUGCACACAAUGCCAGUCUCUUCCUCAAUGCAAAGUGUAAUGCUCCCCAUGUUUUGAGGCUGAGCACACAGUGCCUCAAUGCAAAAUUCAAUGCUUCCUCUGUGGUUGUGGGACUGAGCACACAAUGCCAGCCUCUUCCUCAAUGCAUCCCAAUUCAAUGCUCCCCACAAUGCCAGCCUCAUCCUCAAUGCAAAAUGCAAUGCUUCCCCAUUGUUGUGUGGCUGAGCACACAAUGCCAGCCUCUUCCUCAAUGCAAAAUUCAAUGCUCCCCAUGUUUUGAAACUGAGCACACAAUGCCUCAAUGCAAAAUUCAAUCCUUCCCCCCGUUGUUUUGGGGCUGAGCACGCAAUGCCAGUCUCUCCCUCAGUGCAAAAUCCAAUGCUUUCCCUAUUGUUGUGGGGCUGAGCACACAAUGCCAGCAUUAAAUGCACCCCAAGUUAUGUUUUUACACUCUUUUAAAGGCAUCAUCCAGGGAGGCAGAAAAGGGGGCUCCGUCCUUUCUUAAUCAAUAUAUUGGGGUCCAUUUCUACCAGAUUUCCCCCAAACUUUUUACUAAUUCAGGGGUUCGUCCCUCUCUUUUUUACACUCUCUUUUUUAAAGCCCUGCAAAGAACUCAAUGUUGACUCCGUACAGUUUUGGGGGUCACAUUGGGCACUCCAGUGGCCCCGAAUAUCCGUUCCUUGCACCCCAAACAGCACACACCAGGUGCGUGGUUUCCGUUCUCGGCACUAAUGGGAUGUAUAGUUUCCGUUCUCGGCACAAACGGGAUGCAGCCUUUCCGUUCUCAGCACAGAAAACACAAAAGCUCACCCUCUUUUCUUGGUGCCCCCUUUUUCCCUCUUUGCACAAUAAAGGGUUUGCACCUUAAUACUACAUGGGGAGGCCUGAUUCUUCCCCCCUUUUUUUUAAUAUUUUGGAGUACGCACCUCGCACUGUGACGAUCCCACAAUAAAUCCCUCUCUUUUCCUGCCCCAAACACAAAAAGGAUCAUACGUUUUCCCUUUUCUUGCUGCUAAGGAACCAAAUUUGGGGGUGGGCAGGGGAAAUGGGGGGAAAAGAUGGAAACAAACCUAUUUUUGUAAAUAAAAGCAAGACGGUUUGAAUUGGAGUGGAGGGUCUUCUUUCUCUAUGAUGUCUUGGA
rnacentral:lncRNA from 11 species